rnacentral:rRNA from 1 species
GACGAACGCUGGCGGCGUGCUUAACACAUGCAAGUCGAACGGUAAGGCCCUUCGGGGUACACGAGUGGCGAACGGGUGAGUAACACGUGGGUGAUCCGCCCUGCACUUCGGGAUAAGCCUGGGAAACUGGGUCUAAUACCGGAUAGGACUCCGGACUGCAUGGUCUGGGGUGGAAAGCUUUUGCGGUGUGGGAUGGGCCCGCGGCCUAUCAGCUUGUUGGUGGGGUGAUGGCCUACCAAGGCGACAACGGGUAGCCGGCCUGAGAGGGUGACCGGCCACACUGGGACUGAGAUACGGCCCAGACUCCUACGGGAGGCAGCAGUGGGGAAUAUUGCACAAUGGGCGCAAGCCUGAUGCAGCGACGCCGCGUGAGGGAUGACGGCCUUCGGGUUGUAAACCUCUUUCAGCACCGACGAAGCGCAAGUGACGGUAGGUGCAGAAGAAGGACCGGCCAACUACGUGCCAGCAGCCGCCGUAA